UCUUCCAACUCUUCCAUUCGCUUCUGCUCCCUCAUCUCUACCGCUCUCCUUCAUAGACGUCGAUCGAAACCCCGGGCUAGUUAUCGGAGUAAGUAGAGAAGGAAGGAAAACCCGAGAAAAAUGAUUAGUACUGGUUCAGAAUCUGAGAAGGAAGACGGGAAGAGAGAGACACAGGGCGGCGGACUGACGUCAUUUUGAUUUUCUGACGCAGACGUCUCUUCUAUCAAGCAAGGCUCUCAACUGAAACCGCAUCACCUAGCCUCUCAUCAAGAUUCCGGGUUAGAAAUCGAAGCCUCAAUCAAGCAAGGCUGCUUGGAAUUUGAUUCGGUGCUGAUGCUGAAGUGAAGGAGUUGUGACAUUCAAUUGAUGUUCUAAAGGCUGAAAGUGAACAUUUUAUCCGCAGUGAAGAAAGAGAAGAUGAUGGGUCAAGUGGUGGAAUAGAGAUUGAUGAUGAUGUAAAAGAAGAAUAUCAUGGUCAUGGUGCACAAGAAAGGGAAACAAUAAGAAAAAACAUUACUCUAAGUUUGAUGAGUGCACGUAAUAAUGUGAACAUUUGAAUAUGUUAUGAUAUUUUUUGUGGUUACUUGAUGUGAACCAGAAAUCAAUUGUUAUUAAUGUUACUAAUAUAUUUGUAUAAGUUACUUUUAAAA